GGUUCGAUGGCGUAGUUGGUUGUCGCAUCUGUCUAACGCGGCCAAAAGAAUUAUCGGUGUGUGCAGUAGGUCCCCAGUUCGAGCCUGGGUCGCAUCA